rnacentral:tRNA from 1 species
GUCUGCGUGGCUUAGCUGGUCAGAGCGUCGGUCUCAUAUUGCUUAAUAUGACUGAGUCAUAAGACUUAGACAUCCGAAGAUCAUGAGUUCGAUCCUCAUCGCGGACA